GUGAUGAUGGUGUAGUGGUAACACGGCUAGCGUUUACCUCAAUGGCGCCCGAGUUUCGAUUCCUCGUCAUAACG